ensembl:snRNA U6 U6 spliceosomal RNA
GUGCUCACUUUGGCAGCAUAUAUACUAAAAUUCAAACAAUACAGAGAAGAUUAGCAUGGCCCCUGUGCAAGGAUGACAUGCAAAUUUAUGAAGUGCUCUAUAUUUUU